rnacentral:lncRNA from 1 species
GGAUGGCAUAUUAAAGCUUCAAGCCUCACAGAUCUUUAGGGUAGGGAAAUGAGAAGAUUUUGUUCCCUCCUGGCAAGCAUGACUGCUACUCAUCACCAUUCAACUGGAAAAAAAAAGGACGGAGAGCAAAUCACACCACAUUCACAUGAUAUCCAACGGUGUCUGAGAAAUAUUUAUUUUAUUCCUAACGUCAGUCACCCUUUUGAAAUUUGCUUUCCCACCAAGCAAAGAAUAGAAUCAGGUUCUUCUAAUUAAACUCCUCCUGUCAUUGAUGCCUG